rnacentral:lncRNA from 1 species
CUAGGCGCCUAGCUUUCUAAUACUAACGCUGGCUUGUUGGCGUGGGUCUGGUCUUGCGUGUGGCUGGAGUGUUAGAAGGACGCUUGUGGGGGGAGUGCGCUCCUCAUGCGGCUUGCGGGUCCGUCCCGUGGGCGCGUGCUUGGGAGUAGCUAACCCGCAAGCGGAGUGGCUCGCCGCUGCUACUUGUCCCCAGGUUGGCACUGCGGGUCCGUCCCAGGUCCCUGGUCCGGUUCAGUCGGUAGCGUGCGAGUCCCCGGUAACACAAAGCGCAACACACGGGGACAAGAAGAUCCACCCCCGCGAGUCAGUUUCAGGAACAAGAACCAAGUAGAACCAGAAAACGAAAUUCAUAAAAGUAGCGAACGAUUACAUGGGCUAAUAAAGCAUUAAUUGUUCAACGGCACCAAGCGCAACACUUGCAGGAAAAAAAAGGAAAAACAAAAGCUUGCAGGGGACUAAGACGGCUGGUUGCCGGGGGCUUCCACUGAGCGCCCCGGCUCCGGUUCUGGCUUCCUCUGCAUCCGGUCCACCGAUUCGUCGACGAACGGGCUGACCACCCUGGUGUGGGAGGGGCCGUCCUCGCUGUCCGACCACGCAUCCAGCAGCGUCUCGAAGGGGAAGUCACGUGGUAGUGCUGUAACAUCCCAAAAAUUUCAAACUUUUACAUGUGCAUUGCAUCCAUGAGCAUCAUGCCAUAAUUUCAUAUUUGAAUUCAAAUUUGAAUCUCAAAAGGUUUAAAAGAUUUUAUUUCAAUUUAAACCCUAGGGUUUUCACCCAUUUGAGCUUUGGAUCUUCAAACCAAUAGGGUUUAUUUAUAAAAGGGGUCUAUUGCAUAAUUAAGCUAUCCCAUAUUUUUUGGAUAAUUAUUUGGAGUUGAAAAAGUAUUUUAUUUAAAUAGUUAUAUAGCCCUAAAGGCAUUUAUAGGGCAAAUGUAUUUUUACAUAUUUUAUUUUGAAGGGAAAUUACUCCCAAAAGUUGAAUGAUGAUAAAACAUGAUUUUACAAUUUUGGAAUUUAUUUGGGCCAAUUUGGAGUUCAAAAUCAAAAGUUAUCAAAGAAAUGAGAAAAAGGGAAAAAAAAAGAAAAAAAAGGGGAAACCGGACCGGUCCGACCGCUUGGGCCGAACCGGCCCAUAACCGACCGCGCCCGAACCGCCCUAGCCGACCCGAUCCGCGCGCGCGCCCGGACCGUGCCGCUGACAGGUGGGACCCACCUGUCAGGGCAAUCUUCCCCGAAGGAAAGCCCCCGCCCC